CCCGCUGAAUUUAAGCAUAUCGCUAAGCGGAGGAAAAGAAACCAACCGGGAUUCCCUUAGUAACGGCGAGUGAACCGGGAGAAGCCCAACGCCGAAUCCCGUCGCAAGUAAAAGGCUUCGGGACGUGUGGCGCACGGGUCGGAGGCAGCCGUCCGUUUUUGUCUCGCGUACUUCGGAGUUCCCUCGAUCGGGGCCGCCCGCGGCGGGUGCCAGGCCCAUUCGGUGCGGACGACGGACGACGGCUUCGAUCCGAGAGUCGGGUUGCUUGGGAACGCAGCCCAAAUCGGGUGGUUCGAGUUAAUUCCCGGGAGUAACGUUGCUCGAGAUUGCAGCCGGAAGUGGGUGGUAGGUUCAUCAAGGCUAAAUUUC
rnacentral:rRNA from 1 species